AAAGAAACAAUGAAUUUGAAUAUUGACAGUUCGAUAUAUAAAAAUAUAUCGAGUCCCUUGUUUUAGAAAAUCCAUUUCAAUUUUCAUGUCUUGUAGUUGACCGUGUUUAAACCUUAGAAUAAUUUAGUAUAUUUAAAGCAUUUUCGCAAACAGUAAGACGAAGCAAGGUAUCCAUCCUGCUAUAUACCAAGCAGAAUAUAUGAAAGAAGAGCAAGAACAUGGGCGCUCAGAUAACAUUUAAAAAAAAACUCUUCGCACGCCUUGGUCCCGCGUUUCUCAAUCCGGCAUAUACGCGCUUAAAUAAAUCCAUUUCGGACACGGUUAGCUACUGCGCUUAACUCCUGUGGGCUAGGGAUCUAUGGAUUACCCACUAUGGAUCCUGUGUGUCGGAGAGGCUCAUACAGACUGGAUCUUUGACAUGUGUUGGCUAGAUGAUGAAUUCUUAGUAACGGGGUCUCUGGAUUCCAAACUUGCAUUGUGGCGGGCACCUGAUUCACCAAUAACUCUAACUACCCCUCACAAUUAUAUAGCACCACUUGCUACUAGAGAAUGUAAGGCUGGUAAGUAUUGGCUAAUUUAUUAAACACAUGUAGUCUUGUUACUUUAUUUCUCAAAGAAUUACAUUCACUAAGCGAGAAAAUUUAGAGUAAGUUAGUUAUGUACAUCAUGUUAUGAAAUUAUUUGAAAAUAAAAAUAUUAGUUUCUAACAAUAUGUACCAUAUUUGUUCAAAAGUGCAGGUAAGUCG